CUUGUCAGUUUUGCAUACUGAAGCAGUUAUUUCUUUAAACUUUUAUUUAUUGCAGUUAUUCAUUUUUUAUGUAGUAUAUUUUUAAAUGUUAAAGAAUGACACAUUUUGGGUAAUUUUCUUCAGUCUUAAAAAAAAAAAUCAAUAAGCCAUUUUAGUCUCUAUCUAUCAAAGUUGUUUCAUACUUGUCUAUUUUAAAGCAGGACUGCAAUACUUUAAUAGGAUUGAGAGAGCUAUUUGAAAUGUAUGCCAAUGAUUCCUGUCAUUUCAUGGCAGCCCUGCCAUGGUUCACUGAGCCCCCUCUUUUCUCUUGUCAGCUCAACUGAAGACAAGCAUUUAGUUGCAAACUUUAAGCAGGUUGUGCAAAACAGAAAUGAUGUGACUGCUUCUCUUCCUGCACAAUAAUGUCACUGCUGGUCAAUGUGAGAAGGCACUGAAAACUCACCCUUUUAUCAAGUCUGCAUUUCAUAAGAAAGAAGAACAAUUGUGGAGGGAGGAUUUCUGAUGAUAUGUUUAUAUACUUUAUAAGGACAGUUCCCAAACCAGCGUUGCAGGUAAUGUAUUUAGUUUAAACUGAAAGACUAAAAAGUAAUGGCUGUUUUGACCUUCAAAUAGACUCCUUUUUUGUUGUUGUUGGUAGGACCCAAGAGUGACGCCCAUCUUUGAUGCUGACAGAAUUUAAAGCAAGGCCAUUGCCCUGCAUUUUCUGCCUUGUAGCACACAAAAGUAAAAUUGUAUGUCAGGCCGAGAUGUCGGGGAGCUGACAAGAUGCCCCAGUGACAUUUCAGCUGGAAAGAGCAAGUGUCUUGCAACCAAGUGGUCAAAUAUCAAAUAAUAGGUCAAGCAGGAAGGAGCUGAGUUCUAACCACAAAGAGGUUUCUGGUAACUUACUUGACAAGCUUUUGGGUGCUUUGUGGCUUGACAAAGUGAUGUUCUGUUGGGUAUCGCUAGACAGACUGUUCUUUAUCGCCUUCAGAAGAUCAGACAUUGACAUUGAUUAAACUCUUUAACCCUUAAAGGUUAAAUCCUAGCAUUUUUAUCAUUGUGAAUGAAGAACAAAAGAAAUUUUUUAAUAUACCAUUUGUUUUCAUAUUAAUCACAGAACUCCCUAGUGCUAUUAACUUUUGAUGUGCUGUGUAGUUUUUGACAAAACAAUUGAAUGCAAAAUCUAUAUAAUAGAUUGUUUCUCAGUAUGGGCCAGUGCUACAUUCGAAAAAUAAUAUUAUGCAUUAUGGAAUUUGUAAUUUCUUCUAAUAUGUCAAAUGUAGGAUUUGAUUUUAAAGCUUCAUAAAUGAAAUUCCAUUUUGGAUGGAAAAGAGUAUUUGCAUAAAUGAUGUAGCACUUAAAAUGAACAAAUCUUCCAACCACCCUUGUUUUCAGGUACUCUAGAAUCCUAGAAUAUCCUGAGUUGGAAGAGACUCACAAUGAUCAUCAAGUCCAAAUCUUAGCCCUGCACAGGAAAAUCCCAUGAAUCACACCAUGUGCCUGAGAGCACUGUCCAAAUACUUCUUGAACUCUCUUAAGCUGGUGCUGUGACUGCUUCCCAAGGGAGCCUGUUUCAGUGCCCAACCACCCUCAGAGUGAAAAUCCUUUCCUUGAUAUCCAACCUAAACCUCCUCUGACAUAACUUUAAGCCAUUCUCUUGUGUUCUAUAACUGGUCACUACAGAGAAGUGACCAGUUAAGUGACCAGAGAAGGACAUCAGUGCCUUCCCCUCCGCUUUCCCUCUUGAGGAAGUUGUAAACUGCAGUGAGGUCUUCCCUCAGUCUUCUGUUCUCCAGGCUGAACAAACCAAGCCACUCCUAAUAUGCCUUUAGAUUUUCAAUGGAAGACCUUUAAGGUAGUUUUGAAUUUUCAUGUAUUCUCUAUUAUGCAGUCCAUUGCUUACAGCCUUUAUGUGCUUGUAUGUGUGUAUAAUAACACAGAGCCAUGAAAUGCCAAACAAUAAAUCCGGAAGAGCUCUUACAUGUAAGAGUCAGCUGACAGAGGAAGGGCAUUCCUUUUCUUUAUGUAUUCAGUCUUGAAUACCGAAGAAAGAAGUUUUCAUUUUCCUCCAAGUGUCCUGGCUCCACUCUUUCAUGACAGUGACUGUUCUUAAAGGCAUCAAAAGUACUGUAUUCUGCUUUUCCAAAUUGAAUGUCAAAGAUCUAUUAUAUUAAUAUGAAGAAUGAAAUGAAUGAAUAUAUCUCACUGAUUAUUUUCCUCUCUACUGUGUAUAGAUGCAUUUAAACGCUUUUUAAAGUAUAUUUUCCUUGUACUCUAUAGGUUGAGAAAGAAAGUGCCUAUUUUUUGCUAUGUGGUCUCAAACGGAUGGAAGAUUUGCAGAUUACUUGUCCCUUUUCCAUUAUUGCCAGUCUAUGUGGUAUUAUGCAUGUAGAGACAGAAAAAUUAUUUCUUUCUGAAAUCCGUAUCUUACUGAGAGUAGGAGUAUCUCCUCCAGUUACAGCUCCAAGCAUGGGUUUAUGUGAUUUCACAGGGACCAUGACAGUGGCAAACUGACUUUAGUUAAUAUGAAUGACCUAACAAGCUAUCUUUUCUCAUAAGAACUGGGUUGUAAGUUUUCAUUGAAGGAGAACAUCUACCUCAUUCACUCUAUUUAAAUACUGACUAACUGUGAAUUACAGAAUUACAUACUAUUUUUCUUAAAGCUAUCCACUUAGAAAGGAUUUUGAAAUAUCUUUUAUUUGGCUGCCAGAUGUCCCAUUUGUAAACAAAAUCUCCUCUUUCUUACAUUGUAAAGAAGCUGAGAGUAGUAAAUUGGAUUAUUUUUCGUGUUAUACUCCUGAGUUGCUAUUCCUUGCAUUUGAUAAAAGGAAAUUUGAGAUACAUUCCAAAUAUGUAGAAGAUCCCCUUUUAGUAGUUUACAAAUGUAGUUUGUAGCUUACCAAAGCAUGUUUUUCCCUAUCUUUUGGGGACACAAUAAAAGUCUUGCUUGUGCAGAAUGUGGCAAGACGUACAGUAACAGUAGCUCUCAAAAGAGAAUCAUGUUUCAUACCAUCUGCUCUGCCUUGCUUUGAAAAUUAAAGAGCUUGAGACCUUGAUCCUUACUUUUGAAGAUUUUCAUUUUUAGGGCCUGGAAUUUGAAGAGAACUAGUUCCACUUGUAUAAUCUCAGCUUCAUCUCAGCACUCCACCAGGAGAACAGCUAGUUUCCUUAGAAGGAAGACCAUAUUCAGUGGGGUUAAAAUAGUCUCCAUAGUUUUUGAAUGUGGUGCAACAAAUUAUUUGCUUUCUGGUCAGUCUCAAAAUUAAUAUUAAUUUAUUUACCCAUCAAGCAACCCAUCUCUGAAAAGAGACUGUGUAAUACAUUAUUCACUGCAGCAGGUUUUAUAGCUGUUACUACAAGUUGUGUUUGUGCCUGUGUCACAUGUAUGUAUAUAAGAUUUUGAUUUUUGCACUGACUGUAUUAUCACUCCACAUACUUUAAGCAACUCUUGCUAGACUGGUAGUACAGAUGGGUUUUUUUGGCUCCCAUCCCACCACUGUUUACAGAUUCAGUAGAAUUCAAUGCCUGUCAAGUUGGGUAGACAUUUAUGGGAGUAUCCUCCAUUGUAAAAGAUGUUGAAUGCCUUUACCAAGUUUUUACCAAAGGAGCUGAGGUUUGAAGGCUCUGAAGAUUAUCUAUUGCAGCUGCUUAGAAUACAGUCAGCUACAACAGGUUGCUGAGCAUUGCUUUUUGUCCUGUCACUAGGCAGCACACAGAAGAUAGUGUGGCUCCAUAUUCUUUUCUUUACAGGUAUUUACACGAUUUGGUAAGAUCUCCCUGAGCCUUCUCUUCUACAAGCUAAAAAAAUUACUGCUCUCUCACCCUCUUCUCUUAUGAGAUUAUGCUCAUAAUGAUAUGAGAUUAUUAGUCAUUUUAUUAGUUAUCUUUUUGGUCCUUCACUGGACUUGCUCCUAUAUCUCUCAUGUACUAGGGAGCUCUGGACUGGAGCCAUUACUCCAGAUACAGAGUCACCAAUGCUGGACAGAGGGGAAAGAUUGCCUCCCUUGACUUGCUGGCAGCUGUCUUCCUGAUGCAGCCCAAAGGGGCUGUUGGCCUGUUUUGCUGCUGGGGUACAUUUCUGCCUCAUGAUAAACAGGAAGACAAAGAACCUCCAGGUACUCUUCUGCCAAACUUCUCCCCCGACACUUGGUGUUGGGUCUCCAUCCUGUCCUGGUGCCAGAGGUAAUUCUCCCCAGGCAGAGGAGCCUUUCUUCUCUUUCCUUGAAUUUCAUCAAGGUCCUAUCAGCCCUUCUCCAGUCUGUCAAGACAGUCUCUCUGGAUGGCAGCAAAUCCUUCUGAUCUGUCAAUCACGUCUCCCAGCUUAGUAUCUGCAAAUUUGCGGAUUUUGCACUGGAUCCCAUCAUCCAGGCCAUUAACAAUAUUAUGAGUCUGUAUUGGUCCCUGUAUUGACCCCUGGGAUAUACCACCAGUGACUGGCCUGCAGGUGGACUUCGUGCCAUUGAUCACCAUCCUUUGAGCUUACCAGUUCAGGCAGUUUCACAGCUAACUUACUGUCCAUGUAUCUAGUCCAUAAUUCCUUACUCAACAAGUGGGACAUUUUAUUUUGUAAAAGGUUUCCAUACACUGCUAAAGCCCUGGAUUAAGUGAAAGGCAAUAUUUUAUAUAACCUCUUUGUCAAUUAGGUCAGACUGAUCAUUUGAUCACUUACAAGAGAAUCUGAUCAUUCUGCUGUCAUUCUGUACUUGAAAAGUUUUCCAAUACUUUAAAUUUUAGAUAAAUUUGCAUGUGCUAUAACUAAGCUCCUAAAAAAUAUUUAAAAUCUCUUCUGAUAUACAAAAUUGCUUUAGUAGCAUUUUUCUCCUGAUGUUUUUUGUAGUUCUUUGAUUAUUCUCCAGUGACUAAACCCCAAAAAGCCCCUGGCAGCUUCAGAGUUUGGAUGAAAUCUAUAUGUGAAAAGCACCUCUCCUACUGCUGGUGAUGGAACACCAAGCUUACUCAGCAUUUCUCUCUCCAUUCUGUUGUUGCUUGGCCUUGAAAUCCAAACUAACAAAGAAAUCUAUUAGGACAUCCUUUCCUUUCUUUUAAUCUUUCCCAGUAUGAAAUUACUAGAUUUAGUAACUUGACUUCACUUUGGUCUUUGUAAUCUGAUUAUUUGUGGACAAUCAUUUUGCAUCAUACUCUCCAUAUGGCCCAAAAAUGUACCUCAGUAUUUACUCAGAAAGUGUUUAAGUGUCUUCUUUCCUCUUUGCUGAGUAUUCAACUAAACCGGUGGAACCUACAGUGAUUUUUGCAUAAAUUAUUUAAACAUCUUCAUGUACAAAGUUUAAACUGGAAAAAUUACAUUUUCUUACAGGUACUCUGAUUCUACUAUGACUUCAAUUUUACAGAUUUAGAUGUGACUUUCAAUUAGCUAUCUGUAAAUUGUCCUUCAAUGGGAGAUGGAAGGUGACAUGCUUUUUAUCAUGCUAACAUGGAUCUCAUCGCUGUCACAGGGAGCAUCAUGUAGGAAUUUUGGGCAAUUUAUAUAAUUUCAUGUAUUGCAGUUCAGUGCUUUACAAGCCAGCCAUUCAGCAAUGCAUAUGAAACUGAAUCUUUGCUAUUUCUGGUGUCCAGUGACUGAUGAAUAAAAUUGAACAAGGAUAAAGCAAAUUAUGAGGAAGUGUCUGAAAACUAAAUUGUUUCCAAGGAAUGCUCAGCAGGAGGUAGGGAGAUCCACUGAAUAAUUUUUCUUCAGUUCUUUAUGUACCAUGCUUCCUGUCUCUUUAUAAGCUAAUAGUGCUAAUAAUUAUUACUGAAUACCAGAUUGCCUUCUCAUGGCUCUACUGUGCCCAAUUAAAGCUUCAUAAGUGGUUGGACUUAGUUUCAACUAAUUCCAUGAAAGUCAGUAAUUAAAAAAUAGAAAAUGUUAGAUUUAAAGAUUAGAUUUUAAGCACAGGUAUUGUCCCCAUUAUUGUAUAAAUGUCCUUUCUUUUUCUUGGUAAACAAAUUUUUAAAUCUUCCACUGCAUGAUGGUAACAGGGAAAUUGUUCAAAAAUAAAAGCAAUGCUAAUUAUGUUAAAAUAGAUUACUUUUUGUGUGAUUACAGCUAACCCACAUAGCAGCCCCACUAACUGCUGACCUGUAGAUAUCUGAGUAGUUUAGUCCACACUAAUGGAUUGGUCCUAAAAGUUGUGGAAAGAAGCAUCAUAAAUGCUCUACUUUUGAGCAGUACAUAUGAAAGGCAUGUACCUUCUACAUGUUACAGGAAAAAUGCUCCUAAAAAUCUGGCAUACAUGCAUAGCAAAAUAAAUGGGGCAACUUUUGUAUGAAUCAGGUGAGAGUUUUAGUAUCUUUCAGUGUAUGGUGUGUGGACUUGCCAUCAGAACUUCAUACACAAGGUCCUUCUAAUGUAUGUGAUUCUACUGGCACGUAUGGGGAGGAACCCAAAGCUACACUCCAUCCUGUGACAUUCAUAUAUAGCAUUUGAGGUUUUUGCUGACUAAAAAGCUUUUGAAAAUAAUUUGUAAACCUCAGUCCACGUGGUAAUUAUCAAAACAAAAGCAAGAGAAUUGUGAAUUAAAUAUUAAAUUCUUUCCUACCUUAACACCAUGUGAAGGUUAAUAAAAUUAGUUCCCACAAACAAUAGCAUGGGAGAAGUCCUGAUUGUAAUGUUUGCAGUAGCAGAUAAAUCCUGGUUUCAGGCUUCAUUCUCAAUUGGCUUACUGAAACAAAUUUAUGUCAGACAUUUGGGGUGGGAAGCUGUAUAUAUUAAAGCACUGACCUUAACAAGAAUCAUGCAGCUAAAAUCCUGCACUGUUCUUUUAAAAUGUCAGGGGUUAAUGUUAUUUAAAUGCAGUAUUUGGCGGUUUAAUUGAGUCAUGCUUCGUUGUCUUUUACUGCACAUUAAUGCCAGUGAAACACUGAUUGUUGACAGAAAGUUCUCUUCAGCAAAGUAUACACUGACAUAUAAUACUGCUAUGGAAAAUCCAGUGUGCAAGACAGAAUAGUCAUCCUCUGCUGGCAUAGGAAUCCUGUACUGUCCAAAUGGUGACAACAUCCAUUAUACACUAACAGGAAACAUGAACUAGGCUUGCUUCUGUUGCAUGUUUUCAGAGUGCCUCUUGAGAGAACUGGUGAGACUUAAUUAUUGAGUAUUUAGACAAAUAAAUUAAUCUGAAGUUUUUUUUUCUGUUGGGUGUGUGUCACACAAGUUAGUAACUGCACCUUGAAAAGUACAAACUCGAGUUUUGUUAUAGAAGUACCUCCGACAGCUUUUGUAAUCUGGCCUUAGAAAACACCAAUGGCUAUUCAUCUUGACUUCGUCUAAGUUUGGAAAAAAUAAGUUCAUGUUAUUUCUCUAAAUAUUUCUUAGUGUUAACUCUUCUUGCCAGCUUAAAACCCCCAAGUGGGAAUAGAUGCUGCCUGCACAACUGAGAUGUAAAAAAUAAUGCAAAUUGUGGACUCAAAAGAUUUUGAAGAGGAAUACAGGAAGGAACAAACACUACUGAGUUUCCAAGAACUUGUAUGUGCACUGGGUAGGAUAUAUUUGGUGUUGUGCUUUUGCAUGAUGGAAUUCUAAAGUAACAGCUGUCAUAUGGACACCUACUUUAUACUUCAUUUUGGCUGAAGAAGUCUGCAUGCUGUUUGUCUAGUCCUGUAGGAUUUUGUUACACUUUUGGACUCUGAGCUUUACAGGAUUUUUCUCAUGGCUGCAGGGUGGUUUCUGGAAGUCAUUAGAAUUCUGCCUUGGAAAUGAGUUUGCAAAUGACAUAUGACUUUUAAAAUGUUUUUUUCAAGCCAUUGUAAUUUUCCAAGUUGAUAUCAGCCAGCCUGGUUGAAGCUUGCAACUGCAAAUGGACCUAGAUUGUGUGAAACUUCUGAUGCAUUUGGGGAACUUCCUGGUCCUUACACUAUCUUAUUAGGUGGCAUUGGUACAUCACACUUGGCCUCCUAAGGGAAUAACAAAGUCUUUGAAUCUUGUGUGAUACAAACAAUCACAGAGAGUGAUUUUGUGGAAAGUCAUAAUAGUCAGCUUUUUAGUAGCAGCAUUUAAGCUCAUUUAAGGCUAGCUAAAUAUAUUUCGUUUUCUCCUCAUGUCUAAGGUAUUAUGAAAGUGUCUGGAAGCAGAUAAACUGCUUCACAUCAGAAUGACUGGUGACAUUUGCAGAUCUAUGUCUUCUUCCAAGAUCUGCACUAAGUCUGUUGUAUACUACAAAGAGCUGUAUAGUUCAGCAGGCAAGACCUAUAGAGUACUGACCUGUGGGGACUUUAUUCUCUCUACCACUGUCUCAAGGGCAAAAAGUAGAUCUUUCUAGCUUUCAGAAACUCACAACUAUGCUGAACAAUACAGAGGUGUAAAACCAUAAAGAGACUUGUGGAAACUUCCUGAUGUUCAAAGUCUUAAUUAUCCAUGCUGUGCAUUUGUAUAUGAACAUUUGAGUUGGGUGUUGGCUUUUUUGACAUGUUAAUGCUAUGUUUUACUUAAUGUAUUUUUUAGCAGUUUGUAGUGUAUGUGCAAAUAUUGUGUGCCUUUGCCCUUAGCUAAUUUUUCCCAGAAGCACUUGUAGCACUCAGAUAGAACCAGCUGUUGCUUAGUGAACUCUUGAGCCUCAAUCAAGCAAUAAUGUGUUAAAUUGUUAUCAAGAAAAAAAGGGAAACUCAAAAAUUAGCAGUAAAGUGUGAUGAAUUUAUUGUUUGGCAUUGUAAAUAAACCCCCUUUUAAAGGAACGAGCCAAAUAUAAUCAUAGGUUAACUACCAAAGCAGAGCUUUGGCCAAAAAGCUCCAAGAAGAAGGUAUGUAAAACUGACCAAUUAGAAGAAUUAUCUUAAUAUUUUCCUAAUGGACACUGUAAUUUAGGAAAAUUGUUUAUAACAGGAGAGAAUAUCUAGAAGCAGUUUUAAUUGUGAAGGAUCAGAAAGUAAAGAAAACCGAUGGAUCUCUGAUUAGGUUCAGAGGACAUCUGUAAGCUUGUUCAGGGUCUGAUUAUUUCUAAAGAAGAGGCUUCUGUGAUUUUAUCAAUAAAUUAGGAUUUGGACACCAAA